CCGCUCUUCGGGCGAGCUCCGCGUGCACACACCCUAGCUUUCACAAGAACUGGAAGAGCGGGCCAGGCCUGCGCCGCGGACUCGGUGGGCCCUGCCCCUCCGCCAUCCCCUGGAUGGUCAUCGCAUCCAAAGCUGAACGCGUUGGUGCAUUCAGGAGUUGGAGGCAGGAACAUCAAGAGUUCAAGGUUGCUACACAACAAAAAUAUGGUAUCUCUCAGAAAGAAAGCAAGAUGUCCUUUCUACCAGGUAUGCUGUUAUUGGUCUGGCAAGUUUGUUCCUUCUCACCCUCCAUCAGUAAGGAGAAUCACAGCAGCUCACUCUUCCAUGGAAAGGACCAUGGUACAUAUUUACCGUUUUAUACUGGGGCUUUA